UUUUCUUUCAAUUAUUUAUUUAUUGAUUUACUGAUUCAUUCUAGUUUUAACACUGGCACAAAGCACAGAUGAAGUGUAACAGAGGAGGCAGCGGCUGAGUGGUUUGUGUGAUGGCCCUACGUUCAGGAGCUCCAGUAGGGAUGCGGGUUCAAAUCCUGGCUGCCGCACAGUUGAGGUUUUUCAGUCACCGCCGAGUGGCCUAAGACUAGCCACAUGCUGGCCUGAAGACCACCCAAAAACCCGGGCUCUAGAUAACCUUUCCAAAGAGAGGCUUAAAGAUGAGUUCCGGGGGGCAGCAUGAGCCAACACAAGAUGGCGCCACUAUAAACACUCGCCUGCGCCAGAAUGGGCUGGGCCGACCAUGAGGCCCCACCGGGAAGAAGCCUUGGGCCGACCAUCAGGAUCCACCGGGAAGAAGCCUUGGGCCGACCAUCAGGAUCCACCGGGAAGAAGCCUUGGGCCGACCAUCAGGAUCCACCGGGAAGAAGCCUUGGGCCGACCAUCAGGAUCCACCGGGAAGAAGCCUUGGGCUGACCAUCAGGAUCCACCGGGAAGAAGCCUUGGGAGAGAAAGAGAGAGAGGAGGAGGAAGAAGAAGAAGAAAAAGGAGGAGAAGGAGGAAGGCAGAAGGGGUGGAGGAGGAAGUAAAAGAAAGAGCACAACUCCUAGGAAGGCCUUACCAAUGAUGUGUUUCUUAGGUUCUUGGUACAGAAGAAGGGUCACACUACCACCAGGGUCAUAAAACUACCCCUGGAUAUGCCCACAACUCCUAGGAAGGCCUUACCAAUGAUGUGUUUCUUAGGUUCUUGGUACAGAAGAAGGGUCACACUACCACCAGGGUCAUAAAACUACCCCUGGAUAUGCCCACAACUCCUAGGAAGGCCUUACCAAUGAUGUGUUUCUUAGGUUCUUGGUACAGAAGAAGGGUCACACUACCACCAGGGUCAUAAAACUACCCCUGGAUAUGCCCACAACUCCUAGGAAGGCCUUACCAAUGAUGUGUUUCUUAAGUUCACGGUACAGAAGAAAGGUCAAACUACCAUCAGGGUCACAAAACUAUCCCUGGAUAUGCCCACAACUCCUAGGAAGGCCUUACCAAUGAUGUGUUUCUUAGGUUCUUGGUACAGAAGAAGGGUCACACUACCACCAGGGUCAUAAAACUACCCCUGGAUAUGCCCACAACUCCUACGAAAGCCUUACCAAUUAUGUGUUUCUUAGGUUUGUGGUACAGAAGAAGGGUCAAACUACCACCAGGGCCAUAAAACUACCCCUGGAUAUGCCCACAACUCCUACGAAAGCCUUACCAAUGAUGUGUUUCUUACGUUCUUGGUACAGAAGAAGGGUCACACUACCACCAGGGUCACAAAACUACCCCU